rnacentral:lncRNA from 1 species
AAAUAGUUACAUGCCGCAACUCUAAACCAACCUGCUUGGACAAGUUUCACUACAUGGCUAGAGCAGGCAUUAAAUAAUCCUUUGGUUGUUCCCCUACAAUUAGCACACUAGGGCAUGUUUAAGCACCCUCCUCUUCAUGAUGGUACCAUGGCCUGUGGGCCUUCUAUAAAUAUCCCCACCUACAUUCUGACAAAGGUGAUAAUUCUUUUUUCAUUUUAUUCUCUC